rnacentral:misc_RNA from 1 species
UGGCUCUCGCAUCGAUGAAGAACGCAGCAAAGCGCGAAAUGUAAUGUGAAUUGCAGAAUUCAGUGAAUCAUCGAAUCUUUGAACGCAUCUUGCGCUCUUGGGUUAUUCCUAAGAGCAUGCUUGUUUGAGUAACAGAAAAGCUCAACCCCGUUCUCUUAGUUGAGAACAGAAGGGUUAGGAUCGUGGCAAGUUUGUGAUUAACUUCACUUUGCCGAAAGACAAGCGGCCGAACUUUGAGUUGUGCGCUGACACUAUUGUUGUAAUAUUUUCUCAAUAGCUAGCACUUUUCUUAUCAGUAGGCUUUGAAAUCAAAAGUCGCAAGGCUUUUAACUUUUUUAUUGCUUGUUCUCAAAUCAAGUAGGACUACCCGCUGA